AUGUUAAGGCAAUUUCGAUUAGAUUUGGUCAGGGGGAGGUAACUCCGCAAAGACCUCAUUUAAUAUUCAUAUAUUCAUUAAUGGCGAUGAGCCCGAAAGCUGCGUCUAUCGAUAAAAAUGUAUGAUAACAAAUCACAUACAUGCAUUUGAAUUAAAAACGGGUAUCAAUAUGAUUUAAUUUAUUUACUGAAACGCGAAUAUUGUAUGUUUGUGCCUUAAUUAUAUUGUAAACGGUUACAAUAGCUGUUUUUCUUGCGGAGAUUGUCCGCUUGCGAGACUCGCCUCCUUUUGAGGAUCAACCAAUCAGAAGACGAUCGCCGUCGUAAAGAUGUUUGUGGUUUGCAGAAUGGAAAGCACCUUGCUGCGGAAAAUAUUUUCACUUCUACGUGAAAAUCUAACAUGAAAAGAAACAGUAAUGAAUGAAUGAAGAUUUGUAUCCCUUUUCAAUUCAUCUGAAAACCUGAUGAUUGAGCGGUCUUGCAAAAAAUGUACCUAAGGGGUCAGAUGGGCUAAUGCAUUCAUUUCCAUAAACUGGACUCAGUAACUGUUCAAGGCUUUACACAAUACCUGAGUGUACAUUUCCAGUUACUAAUUACAAUGAUUUAUGUGUAACCUAAAUUUCAUAUUGUUACACUUCUUCGUCACUCGACAGAUAGAAUUAGACACAUCUCUGGAGAAGAAAAAAAUCUUUGUAAAGUUCAAGACAGAAUUAAUGAAAAAGAUCAAGAACUAAUACAACUAUAUGCUUGUAGUACAGAUGUAAACUUUUAUGAAAUGUUUCAAACUAAAGCUACACUUUAAAGCUUUCUGAAAAUAUAUUAAACCAGGAGACAUAUUAGCUACAAUUUAAUUUUAAGAUGACACUGGACAUUCUUAGUUGUUUAUUACUCAAUGAAUAGUUAGUUUAUAGCAUAAGGCCAUAAGUUAUUGUGACCCAAUUAAUCUGUUAUAAUGAUAUUUACUUCAUUUUUAAAAAAUUGCAUUAAUAUUUGUUUAUGAUCAAUGAAUCAGAAAAACAGUG